GAUGAACGCUGGCGGCGUGCCUAAUACAUGCAAGUCGAGCGAAGAGGGGACGGGUGAGUAACACGUGGAUAACCUCCUAUAAGAAUGGGAUAACUUCGGGAAACCGGAGCUAAACCGGAUACUUAUAGAUGGAUCUGCGCUGCAUUAGCUAGUUGGUAAGGUAACGGCUUACCAAGGCAACGAUGCAUAGCCGACCUGAGAGGGUGAUCGGCCACACUGGAACUGAGACACAGUCCAGACUCCUACUGGAGGCAGCAGUAGGGAAUCUUCCGCAAUGGGCGACAGCCUGACGGAGCAACGCCGCGGUAAUAC
rnacentral:rRNA from 1 species